rnacentral:tRNA from 1 species
GUCAUACAGCUAGUGGUAUGAUUCUCGCUUAGGGUACCUAAGUAAACGUGCGAGAGGCCCCGCGUUCGAGUCGCGGUAAGACCC